CCCCUAGACGUUCUGGGCUGCACGCGCGCUACAAUAAUACGCACAGCGAGUAUCACCGAGCUCGAAAGGGCAAGGUAAACAAUAGAAAAGGUACUGUAAUGGUUAUAGAUCCUUGUAAUUAUUGAUCUUCAACGAGGAAUUCCUAGUAAGUAUGUGUCAUCAUCACGCACUGAUUACGUCCCUGCCCUUUGUACACACCGCCCGUCGCUCCUACCGAUUGGGUGAGCCGAUGGAACUCUCGGAUGUAGGCUAUUCAUAGCCCGCAGAAGAGAUUUGAAUCGUAGCGCUUAGAGGAAGGAGAAGUCGUAACA
rnacentral:rRNA from 1 species